rnacentral:rRNA from 1 species
AUUGAACGCUGGCGGCAGGCCUAACACAUGCAAGUCGAGCGAGCGGCGGACGGGUGAGUAAUGUAUGGGGACUGCCCGAUAGAGGGGGAUAACUACUGGAAACGGUGGCUAAUACCGCAUACUAUCCUAUACCCCAUAUGGGAUAAGCUAGUGGGUGGGGUAAAGGCUCACCGAGGCGACGAUCUCUAGCUGGUCUGAGAGGAUGAUCGGCCACACUGGGACUGAGACACGGCCCAGACUCCUACGGAGGCAGCAGUGGGGAAUAUUGGACAAUGGGCGAAAGCCUGAUGGAGCAAUGCCGCGUGAAUGAAGAAGGUCUUAGGGUUGUAAAGUACUGUCAGCGGGGAGGCGUUACCCGAAGAAGAAGCAACGGCUAACUACGUGCCAGCAGCCGCGGUAAUUC